rnacentral:pre_miRNA from 1 species
GAAGGUCGAUCGGGUGACGUCUAAACGACGAUUGCCAUCCAUGGCUGGCGGUCGUGGAUGGUAAUCGUCGUUUAGACGUCAUUUGAUCAACCUU